UUUCCGACUUCGUGCUUCUUUGCAUGCCCAUACUGUAAUAUGAUAUGGAAUGUAAAGAAGUAUGUAGUUUGGCC
rfam:Angiostrongylus costaricensis strain Costa Rica genome assembly, scaffold: ACOC_scaffold0000023